AAUGGAACGUGGAGCUUCCUUCUCUCACUAUCAGCUACCCAAAUCCAUCUCUGUUAAUCUAAGUGGCUAUUUAUAUACUUGCCUCCAUGUAUAUUUAUAUGCUCAUGAAAAAUUGGAGACUUGCUUUUUGAUUUUUAUGAGUCUUUUCAACAAAGAAGUAGAGGCUUUCUUUCUCGAAAUUUAAUUUUAGAAUUUGUGAAGGUUUUGGGAAUGGCUCGGAAAAGACGAUUUUAUACAUGCAUGCAAGAGUUUGAUAUGUGUAUUGUCUCAUCAUGACUGAGUCAAAGUUUGAUUCAAAUAUUUCCAUGGUGUGGUAGAAAUUAAACAAAUCUUUCAUAUGUGUUCAUUGAAUAUUCCCGUGCAUGCACGAUGAAUGUUUUUGAGUAUCAAUUUUUUUGUUUUAUUUUUUUUUGUUUUUCGAUUCUAAAAACGUAGGGGAGGGGAUUUUAUUGGUUUUCUCUAUGAGUUUUCUCGUUGUAACGGUUGAGUUUUUUUUUUUUCCGUUUCAAAAUGAGAUUCUCGUUUCUCUGCCUUUAUCUAAAAGCAUCUACAGUAAAUUAAAAGACACUAAAAAACAAAAAAUUAAAAGACACUGAAAUUUUUUUUAUACUUAAUAAACAUUUAAGUAUAUAUAAACAGUCUUACUAGUCCCAAGUUUUACAAUUCAAAAUUUAUUAGUAAUUGUUUUUUGGAAAAAAUCUAAGUGAAUUUUUGUCCAAAAUUUUCCUUUUACUGUGUUUAUUCUAGUGGGUGUCAUUAACUUUAAUCUUGUGAUUCUUUUAACGUUUACCAUUGGGAACCUUCACAUGAAAUAAAUGUCUACUUUAUCGAGUCAUACCUUCUUCUCCGUAAAUUAAUUGAUGUUCUUCUUCAAAAUUUGAGUUUCUGUUUUUUGUAAUAAACUAAACGAAAGAAUUUGGGAAUACGUGUUUAUACAAUUAUACUUUUAAAGUUAUAUUUAUGUCAAAAUUUAAGUAUUUCGAGAAGAGGAAAGAUCCUUUUGACAUUUUUGUUCUAUAGUUAUUAUUUAUUAGAAACGUAACGGCAAGAAUCUGAACAGUACCUACUCAACGGGGUCCAUAAGUCUAGUCAACAAAUGUAGUUGACUAUGUCCAGGCCAAAAACGUACGGUUAUUAUUAACCAUAGUUAAUAGUUAAAAGUUAACCAUGGUUCGGUUAACAUUAAACCCUUUUUCCUCUUUUAACAAACCCCAAAACCUUUCUUCAGAUUUUCUCUCUGCUUUUCACAAUCGUCGUCUCAAUUUUUUCCUGCAAAAUUCCGAUCGCCAUGGAUGAUGGAGCUGUUGAGAUACGUGAAGAGCAACGUCGAUUGAUCGUGGCCCAGCAGCAACCACCAUGUAUGGCUCGUGAACAAGACCAGUACAUGCCAAUCGCAAACGUCAUAAGAAUCAUGCGUAAAAUCUUACCGUCGCACGCUAAAAUCUCUGACGACGCCAAAGAAACGAUUCAAGAAUGUGUCUCCGAGUACAUAAGCUUCGUGACCGGUGAAGCCAACGAGCGUUGCCAACGUGAGCAACGUAAGACCAUAACUGCUGAAGAUAUCCUUUGGGCUAUGAGCAAGCUUGGGUUCGAUAACUACGUGGAUCCCCUCACCGUGUUUAUUAACCGGUACCGUGAGAUAGAGACCGAUCGUGGGUCGGCACUUAGAGGUGAGCCACCGUCGUUGAGACAGGCCUAUGGAGGAAAUGGUAUUGGGUUUCACGGCCCACCACAUGGCCCAUCUCAUGGCCUACCUCCUCCUGGUCCUUAUGGUUAUGGUAUGUUGGACCAAUCCAUGGUUAUGGGAGAUGGUCGGUUCUACCAAAACGGGUCGUCGGGUCAGGACGAAUCAAGUGCUGGUGGUGGCUAUUCGUCUUCCAUUAACGGAAUGCCGGCGUAUGACCAAUAUGGUCAGUAUAAGUGAAGAUGGAAUUAUUCUUCAUUUUUAUGUAUAUCGAUUCAAAACAUGUGUUUGAAUAGAUAUUUUAUCUUUGUAUUAUCAAUAACAUUUCUAUAUAUAAUGUUGCUCCUUUUAAGGAAAAGUGUUGAGUUUCAAUACUUUUCGAGAACUGAUUUAUAUAUGCAAAUGAAAAAGUGUUUUUGGAUGAAACUCUAUGCAAUAUUACAUGAUCUAAAGGUUUUUGUAAUUUUAAAGCUGCUAUAGUUAGAAGAUAACUAAACAUUAUAGGAACCAAGUUUGCUUUUUUUUAUAUAGUUAGAAGAUUUAUAUAUGCAAACAAAAAGGGUUAUAAAAUCAAAAUUCAAAAUGAAGCAAGUGGUCCAAAUGCAUUGACCACAUAAACACUUUAAUAACCAAAAUAUAGGAUUUUUGUAAGACUCUCAAGUCUGACGCACAACAGUUUAUGUUAUUUAUAGAGUUGACUGUACCAUUAAAGAUUUCAAAAAAAUUAGAUCUUUAUUAGGUUCAUUUGUUGUUACACUCCUCCUUCUAUAUAAUAAUAACCUCCACUCCUCUCUAUGAGCAGCAAUGUGAAAGAUAUGGUCCAAGUGAAGUCAAACCCAACAAAUGAGCCUAGUCAACAACCACAACACAAAAAGACAAAGACCAGAAAAGUUUCACCGGCUGAGAGUAUCUCCAACAGUAAUGUCUUGAGGAAUAUCUUAAGAUUAAAAAAAUAAAAAAUAAUAAAAAAGUAGGAGAGAGUGUAGACACAGUUUCUGGUUUGAGAAACUUUGAGAAACUGUGUUUCCACUUGUCAUUUUAUUAUUGGUCAAAUUCUUUUUUUAUAAUUUAUAAUUUAAAUAAAUAAUUUAUUUAUUAUAAAUUGAUUAAAAUAAUAUUUUUGAUACACCCACACAGUGUCACAUAAACUCCCCUCUGAUCGCGGAAGCUGUGGCGGCCCUUCUCGCGUUGCAACACGCCCGAAACCUUGGUUUCACAUAGCUCUCUCUUGCUUCUGACUCGUCUCAACUCGUCAAAGCACUUCAAUCGGAGCUUCAAGUAAAGGAACUCCACGGGAUUCAAUUCGACAUCCUUGAUCUAUGUUUAAGUUUCUCUGCAAUUUCUUUUCGCUUUAUCCCACGAUCUCAAAACACUGUAGCGGAUUCGUUGGCCAAGGAGGCCUUACUCUCCUUUGUACUGGGCCUGGCCCAACUCUAGUUUUCAAUUGAAUCAUCCAUCCUUUGCACAAAAAAAAAAAUUUGUAAGCGUUAUGAUUGCAUUGGAGAGGUUUACUUGUCCGUUCAUUUUUUGAAUUCAAAUAAUGGGAGUUCAAACACUUAGAAAUAUCAGCAUUACUAUAUAUAUACUACUAGUAUUCAUUUGUUUAACAUAUAUGGAUGGUCGAUUAUUUUUUUGUUAAUCAACGCCGAAGGGUAAAGAGCUCAUGUUUUUUUCGUGAUGUAGCCUAAAGAUUAAUAUAAGUUUAUUGCAAAAAAAAAUAAUGAAAAAUCACUUCUAUUAAUUUUGUUAACAUGCAAGGUCAAAUUACUUUUCACUCUCUAUCUCAUUUCUCGUCAUGCAUAUAUGUUCGCAAGAAUCUCCAAUGUUGAUAUAUUCACCUAUCUCAACUCAUAUUUACGUAAUGUAAUUUCUUGUAAUUUGCCAGUUCAUCUCUACUCGAAAAUGCCCAAUCCUAAUAACAUAGAGGUGUGCUGAAAAAUAAUGGGAGAAUUAGCCUCAUAAUAUUUUGCGUAAGAGUAACUUGGAAGACGUACAUUGACCAAGGUAUUAUGAUUUUUGUCAGUUAAUGGCACCCCAUUGGACCAACAAAUUAAGCAAUCCCCGCAUUCCUUUAAUUUAAUCGUAACAAUAUGUAUUAAACUAAAUAUACAUGCACAACAAUUAAUUUCAAAUACAUUAAAAAAACGCACAAGUCAUAACAAUGAUUAUUCGAGUUUAUUACUCCAUAUGCGACUAUGAACAUUUUAAUAAACUUCGACAUCAAAGAAGCUGAGACAUGCAUGCCGAAACAAGCAUUCCUCUUCUGACUUCUCUCGUCCACAAUUUUUUUUUAUUUUUUGAAUACUAAGGUGUUAAAUUAUUAUAUCUAAUUAAUUAUAGCAAAUAAUUGAAGGUAUAGGUCGAGGUUUUCAUUAAAGAAACAAUAGGCUCUCUAAUUCUAUAGAUCAAUUAUUGACCACUCGAGGAUUUACAUUAUAUUUCAUGCAUGUAUAUUUGUUAGAAGUAAACUGUUUUUUCUUGUUUUCAUUUCUAGUAAGAAAUUCUUAGUCCUAGUUUUAUUUUUGUCUUAAAAGCUUACUUGAAUAGUUAAAAAGUUCAAUACUUAUCAAAAAAAUAUUUAUACUAAUAUUACACAAAAAAAAAUAUGUAAAAAUAUAUAGUUAAAAGUUCAAACUAAAAAUAGAUGCUUUGAGAUAUUUGAGUGCACAUUACUUUAAAUUUGAUGGGAAAUCUGUAAACCAGUAAUUCUCUAUCUGCAGGAUAAUUAAUUUGUGUGUGGAGUGGUUAGAUUUCGAAGUCAACAGUUUAGUCAAAGUGCUGUCAGAAAAAUUACAUGCGGGGGCUGUAAGAAAUAAUACAUUUACAUGGAUUACAAAAACAGUUUUUAAGAAGAAAAAAAAGUGGUUUACCAAAAAAAAAAAGUGACGCUUUCAAAUUAUUUAAAAUAGAAAAGUGUUUUAUGGGUUUAUACUUUAUAGAAUAUUACACACAUUAAGAUCUAAUAUUGUUGCAUCUAAUAAUAUUUAUACUUCAGAGAUUUCAAAAUGUAGUGUUAUUUAAUCAAUAUUUUAAAUAUUUCAUAAAAUCUAGUAUUGUUCAAAAGUAUAACAUUUAAUUAAUAUUUUGAUACAUAAAUCUAUCUUUACUAUACUAUAAAUCUAGUAGAUUAGUCCAACAUCCUUAUUAAACCACCUCUCAAUGAAAAAUUAAAAUAGACCAAAAAAUUACAUCAGAAAUAUUAAAUGAUGAAUAAUAUAAGCAACUUCUUAAUGAUACACAACACCAAUCCUAGUUUUUCUAAUUUUUGUAACUUUUUUUUUUAUUUGUUUCUACCAAACUUAUCCAAAUAUAAAUUGAUAGAAACUAACAGAUAACUAAACAAUGCCACAAAAAUCUUUAUCAACCAUUGGAUUACUAGGGUGUUGGAUUUAUAUAUUUAUUGGUUAUUUAUGUAUUAGAAAAUGCAAAGCAACAUUCAAUUGUAAGUUUGUAACAUGCAUCUAACACCAAUAUCUUUUACUAAACUUUUGUAAUCCCUUAAACACUUUAAAAUGCUAAUUCAAAUUAAAAAUACAUUACACGUGAUACAUAGUUUUAAAAACAGUAGACUUAUAGCUCAUUUUCGUAACGCAUAUAUAUAUUAAAAUUUACCAAAAUUUACCAUUUCGAGUAAGAGAAUCUUUUUAAAAAUAAUUUUCAAUUUCAUUAAUUAAGAAACAAUGAAUUUAAUGAAAUGUAUAUUUUAUUAAAUUCCCAUAAAGUAUAUAUAAUUAAAAUAAUGCCACGUAAAUCUUUCUCCGCCGUUCGAUAAUCAAAUACUUUCUUGAUUAAAAAUGUAUUCAGAAAAUGUUAAACCAACAUUUAUCUAUAAACAAAGAGAGCCUCAUAUGUGUAAAAAUCUUCUUCUUAUCUUUCUUUCUUUCUUAAUAGAGUCUUUAAUUUUUACUCAAUUAGCUUUGGUAAUUUGUGAAAAAAACAACCAAUGAGAGAAGAGCAGUUUGACUGGCCACAUAGCCAAUGAAAUUAGCCAAUGGGAAAGAGAUAUAGAGACCUCGUAAGAACCGCCUCCUUUGCCAUUUGUAUCAUCUCUCUAUAAAACCACUCAACCAUCAACCUUUCUUUACAUGCAACAAAUCACUCAAAUAAUUAUUUUAUAAAGAACAAAAAAAAAAAGACGGCAGGGAAACAAUGGAACGUGGAGCUUCCUUCUCUCACUAUCAGCUACCCAAAUCCAUCUCUGUUAAUCUAAGUGGCUAUUUAUAUACUUGCCUCCAUGUAUAUUUAUAUGCUCAUGAAAAAUUGGAGACUUGCUUUUUGAUUUUUAUGAGUCUUUUCAACAAAGAAGUAGAGGCUUUCUUUCUCGAAAAUUAAUUUUAGAAUUUGUGAAGGUUUUGGGAAUGGCUCUGAAAAGACGAUUUUAUACAUGCAUGCAAGAGUUUGAUAUGUGUAUUGUCUCAUCAUGACUGAGUCAAAGUUUGAUUCAAAUAUUUCCAUGGUGUGGUAGAAAUUAAACAAAUCUUUCAUAUGUGUUCAUUGAAUAUUCCCGUGCAUGCACGAGGAAUGUUUUUGAGUAUCAAUUUUUUUGUUUUAUUUUUUUUUGUUUUUCGAUUCUAAAAACGUAGGGGAGGGGAUUUUAUUGGUUUUCUCUAUGAGUUUUCUCGUUGUAACGGUUGAGUUUUUUUUUUUUCCGUUUCAAAAUGAGAUUCUCGUUUCUCUGCCUUUAUCUAAAAGCAUCUACAGUAAAUUAAAAGACACUAAAAAACAAAAAAUUAAAAGACACUGAAAUUUUUUUAUACUUAAUAAACAUUUAAGUAUAUAUAAACAGUCUUACUAGUCCCAAGUUUUACAAUUCAAAAUUUAUUAGUAAUUGUUUUUUGGAAAAAAUCUAAGUGAAUUUUUGUCCAAAAUUUUCCUUUUACUGUGUUUAUUCUAGUGGGUGUCAUUAACUUUAAUCUUGUGAUUCUUUUAACGUUUACCAUUGGGAACCUUCACAUGAAAUAAAUGUCUACUUUAUCGAGUCAUACCUUCUUCUCCGUAAAUUAAUUGAUGUUCUUCUUCAAAAUUUGAGUUUCUGUUUUUUGUAAUAAACUAAACGAAAGAAUUUGGGAAUACGUGUUUAUACAAUUAUACUUUUAAAGUUAUAUUUAUGUCAAAAUUUAAGUAUUUCGAGAAGAGGAAAGAUCCUUUUGACAUUUUUGUUCUAUAGUUAUUACUUAUUAGAAACGUAACGGCAAGAAUCUGAACAGUACCUACUCAACGGGGUCCAUAAGUCUAGUCAACAAAUGUAGUUGACUAUGUCCAGGCCAAAAACGUACGGUUAUUAUUAACCAUAGUUAAUAGUUAAAAGUUAACCAUGGUUCGGUUAACAUUAAACCCUUUUUCCUCUUUUAACAAACCCCAAAACCUUUCUUCAGAUUUUCUCUCUGCUUUUCACAAUCGUCGUCUCAAUUUUUUCCUGCAAAAUUCCGAUCGCCAUGGAUGAUGGAGCUGUUGAGAUACGUGAAGAGCAACGUCGAUUGAUCGUGGCCCAGCAGCAACCACCAUGUAUGGCUCGUGAACAAGACCAGUACAUGCCAAUCGCAAACGUCAUAAGAAUCAUGCGUAAAAUCUUACCGUCGCACGCUAAAAUCUCUGACGACGCCAAAGAAACGAUUCAAGAAUGUGUCUCCGAGUACAUAAGCUUCGUGACCGGUGAAGCCAACGAGCGUUGCCAACGUGAGCAACGUAAGACCAUAACUGCUGAAGAUAUCCUUUGGGCUAUGAGCAAGCUUGGGUUCGAUAACUACGUGGAUCCCCUCACCGUGUUUAUUAACCGGUACCGUGAGAUAGAGACCGAUCGUGGGUCGGCACUUAGAGGUGAGCCACCGUCGUUGAGACAGGCCUAUGGAGGAAAUGGUAUUGGGUUUCACGGCCCACCACAUGGCCCAUCUCAUGGCCUACCUCCUCCUGGUCCUUAUGGUUAUGGUAUGUUGGACCAAUCCAUGGUUAUGGGAGAUGGUCGGUUCUACCAAAACGGGUCGUCGGGUCAGGACGAAUC
rnacentral:lncRNA from 1 species